CCUACGGGCGGCAGCAGUGGGGAAUAUUGGACAAUGGGGGCAACCCUGAUCCAGCCAUGCCGCGUGUGUGAAGAAGGCCCUCGGGUUGUAAAGCACUUUCAGUGAGGAAGAACGCCUGGUGGUUAAUACCCAUCAGGAAAGACAUCACUCACAGAAGAAGCACCGGCUAACUCCGUGCCAGCAGCCGCGGUAAUACGGAGGGUGCGAGCGUUAAUCGGAAUUACUGGGCGUAAAGCGCGCGUAGGUGGCUUGAUCAGCCGGUUGUGAAAGCCCCGGGCUCAACCUGGGAACGGCAUCCGGAACUGGCAAGCUAGAGUGCAGGAGAGGAAGGUAGAAUUCCCGGUGUAGCGGUGAAAUGCGUAGAGAUCGGGAGGAAUACCAGUGGCGAAGGCGGCCUUCUGGACUGACACUGACACUGAGGUGCGAAAGCGUGGGUAGCAAACAGGAUUAGAUACCCCGGUAGUC
rnacentral:rRNA from 1 species